CGUCCCUUCUCGCCUAUUCAGUUCAAACCUUGGACACAUUCUCCAAAGCCAUAGCCUCCAUUUAUAACAGCGAGACAAAACUGCCGGACUCAUCUCCACCUCCGACCGGCUCAAAAUAAGUGAAGAAGGUUCCGCAGAAGCAUUACCCCAACAUACCUGCCGAGAUUUUAAAAGAAGUGAGCCCUAUUGUUCACCUCUCCCGCAGCGAAAGCACCACCACAGUUCUCCUCCUUCGUUCGACGCCAAACCAGCAUUAAAGAACACAUUUCCGUAAAGUUUAUAAAGUCAUUUAUAUAGGAGGUGGAGUUGAUGAAUAAACAAGCUUUUAGUCAAGAAUUUGCUUGUUUGAGAAUUCAAGUGGUGAAGCUGAAAAGGGGGUGGAGUUGGAGAUAUUAAUAUGCAUCUUAUUGCUCUGUUCUCUACUGCAGCAAAGUUUUUAAGAACCGUGGGGAUGGCUCUGGUUCUUUAGGAGGAUAUGCCUAAUGCCUGUUGUAGGUGUUGUGAUUUUAAAUUUUGAAAACUUUAGAAUUGAACAUGAAUUAUUCUCAAUCUUCUUAGUUCGCGUAGUAUUGACAUUUGUUUUAUGUGGUUGUUUUGCAUCUCAAAAUGGGAGGAAGGAAUGUUUUACGUGGUCGUACAAGGAGAAUCAAGCGGUGAAUCCUGCUGCCAAGGAGGAGGUCAAAGAUAUGUCACGCAUGUUUGAAACGCUAGCAAGUGAAAAAGGAGACGUCGACAUUUUAUUAAAUGUGACAUUCCUCAAGGGAAAAGAGAGUGAGGAAGGGAAUUCGAAAGGAAGGGGGCUGGCUUGAUUAAUAGUGAGGAGGCGAAUUCUAAUAGUAUUGUAAUUUGUAUUUGAUAUUGGAAAGUGGGUGUAAACUUUGUUCCUUCUAUUAUGUUUGGCAUCAGUAAAUCUCAUUCUUGCCAUGGA